UUCUUUUCUAUAGUUUCCUGUGGUCUCUGGAACCAUGGAGAAUGAUUGGGUGUUGGAGAGCCUGUCUGACUCUGGAACCGAUGAUGAAUAGUCGUCAGAUAGGGAACUGCACUCAGAAGGAUUGGUUGCUGAUCGCUUAGAUUCCACCCACAUCUGCCUAAUUUACCCCAAUAACCACCAGAAGCCUAGCAGAACAGACUCUCCGGAGCCAAGCAUAGACGAGAGGCCCACGGAAGAGGGUCUGCCUCCCUCCCGUUGCCACUAGGCCCCUCCAAAGCGGACCACCGAAGGCAAAGCGAGCUGAGCCUGCACCUCCCGCCCCUGUGCACCUUGCAGACCCACCCCGGCUAAUACGCCAGAU